UUGCGUCACUUGCCAUUAGUGUGUGCUGCAGUGCCCAUACAGACACAGAGGCGGGAGGUGCUGUCGGUCGUCUCUCUCACUUGACGGGAUGUCCUUUAACUGUAUUUAGGUUCUGGACCUUGGCAAGGAGAGGUGUGCACUCUGCUGUACCACACAUCUUGCCUCACUUGUACUGCUGUACUAGGCUUCUCUUCUCCAAUAUCAGGAUGGCAAGUGAUUCACAACACAACUAAAGGAAGCAGGUGAUACAGCCCAGACCCAGCCAUCCACCCCUCCUCUCUACCUCAGAAAUGUUCUGAACACUGGGGUGCCAUGCUGCCCUAGACUGUGCUUACUGGCCACUGCCCUGUACUUGCUUGCUACUGCCGCCCUGGACGGCUGUGCUUGUUGGCUGCUCUGCUCUGUGCUGGCUGGCUGCUGCCCUGGACGGCUCUGCUC